CGGAUGUGUAUUAGAGGAAAUACGACAGGCAAUAUUUCUUGAUUCAGUUGGAUGUCAUCACAACUGUACCAAUACGUCAGUAUCAGAGACCAUCAAAGCGCACGCACGCACGCACGCACGUAGACAUACACUAGCGCCAGUACCUCGACUUUCACCCUACAAAUUAAACACUAAUGUGACGUGAUGAAGCGGACUGAGAACGGAGAGAUGCCCGGAUCGUGUACCACGCGGAUCAUGAUAACAACAAAAACAGCAAUAACAGCGGGCGUCCAACCAAGUGACCCGGGGUCAGGUCUCGUGACGCGACAGACCUGGGAGGCACAAAGAAAUUCACUUUGCUUGUUGUCUCGAACCCCGAAUACACAACGUUCGACUGUAUAUAGCUCCGGUGAAAUAACAACACUACAAGAGUACUGAUGUUC